CACAAUAUAGACUUGGAAGUUAUUCCAUCUCCUUCUUCUGCUCAGAUUGAAACCAUAGGAAGAGAAAAACCCAAUCAAACUCAAAUGAUCCUUCUUCGAAACAAACUCUAAUUAAAGAAAACCCCAUCUCAUUCUUAUGAUUUCUCUUUACUCAUCAAUUUCUGGUGAAAUUCGUUGGUUAUUGUUGCUGGAACUCGUAUGUCAAAUACGCGAGUGGCUAAAGCCUUUGCUAUUUUAUCUGAGGAGGUUCUUUCCAAGGGCAUUCGAAGUAUAACUGCUACUACAACUUUUGAGGAAAUAUACUCCGCAAAAGAAAUAGAUCUGAAAAUUAGUGAUGCAGUCCAGUUAGACGAUAGCACUCUCGUUAAGGGAAAAGGAAGGGCACAUGUUAGUUUACCUCCUACUGCAAGAAGAACGGAUACACUUAACGACUUGCUUGCAGCAAGUGACCUUAUGUUCCUUCACUGUGCUUUGACUAAUGAAACGGUUCAGAUUAUAAAUGCUGAAUGCCUGCAGCAAGUAAAACCUGUCAGUUGCUGGACGGUUGUGCUCUCGAAUAACUUCUGAUUGAUGACACUAGUGUUGGUUGUACGCUUUGGAUGCUGCUGAAGGACACAACGGACGAAAGCAUGGGUAUAAGCAUUAAUCUUAUGGAUCUUGUUGACAUUGAUGUCUUCCGCGAUGCGAAGAAGGUCAUUGAUUCCCUUCAAAGUAGGAUGACUCUUGGUGUGCAGAACAAAUCCAGGUUGAAGAAAUCAAAGGUGCAACAUUAUUUCUCCAGUUCUCUGUUUAGCUUGUGAUAUUUAUUUAGGUUAAAAGGCCAUCAUCUUAAUACAAUGCACAUUUUAGUUUCACAUUCUCUACGUAUUUUUAUAAACUUUAAACCUACAAGUAGGUUUGAUAUACUCGUAUCCAGGAUGCUGGACGAUAUUCUUUGGGAAAUAGCACUUAAUGACUGUUAUUUGUCUAGGUCCAUAGAUUCUUGUAGAAUUCCUUUUACUGUUUCAUAUAUCCCUUCCGACCUCUGUGCUAAAUGAUUGUUCUAGAAUUUAAAGUAAGGAUAACAAACUAAAUGAUCUUUCUAGACUUUAAAGUGGGGAUAGCAGAUGAUAUAAAAUGUUAGUUUGAUUAAGGUUAGGAAUGGGGCUUGUUUGGUGGUAAGCUUGCUUGAGGCCGGUAUGGGUUCUGCACUUCUAUUUAUUGCAUCGUAAAAUGUGGUAAGCUUUCUUGAGGUCAGCGUGGGUUCUCUUCAUCAAUUGAGGUGGAUUUAUUGAAAAAUUUCAAUUUCUGUGAGGUUUUUGUGUGGUCUAUCUUGAUACCAUGUUCAGCAAUACAUGAAAAUCAGGUCAUCAUAUUCUGUCACUAUGUAAGUAUUCAUUUCUCUAAACAUCUCAAUUACCACAACGAACAUGUUAGCAUAGAAGAUUAAUAUAUUGAAUUUAUAAUCAUUGGUCUUCAUCUCAGUUUGAAAUAACAGUUUAUGUGCACGAGUAUUGCUCCAUUUUUCUACUUUCCGCAACCUCUAUUUGUAUAACUUUAUUUGAAAUCCUUAGAAAUGUUGAAGCCCACAUACAGAACAUAGAUAACCCGAACUUGUGGUGUAAUGGUAUCCAGGUAUCCAAUUUAGAGUUUCUCUGCCGAUUUCUUUUUGGUCUUUCACUUUUUAUGAGUUUCUCGUUUUGUUUCUGUGAGGACACAAGGCAAGGAGCUUGGAUAGGCCUUGCCAAAAAUAUGUUGUGGGUCCAUUUAACUUUGUAACGUUUAUGUUACUUCAGCGCUAUUUUGAGCGCCUUCUUUCACUUAUUUUUUCUUUUUUUCUAUUGUACGUUCAACUUUUCUAUCUUCACAGAGAUUUCAGAGGAAGCUUUAGCUCAUGGUGUGACAUCUGAGAUGAUUCGAGCUUUUCUUAAAACAGAACAUGGGCAUACUUCUCAUGUGAAAGAAGACUUAUUGCAACCGCAAACUACCACCACUGCAAAGAUUUCACCAUGUAAAGGGCCUAAAGAUGGGUUUCCGUUUUAGGUUAUUUCCUCAACAACUCAAAGCAUCGACAUCAAGGAAUUGGUAUUUUCUGAUGUUAUCUUGUGGGGAGAUUUGGGGGAAAAUUUCUUGUGGGUGAGGAAGAUGAUUUUUAAGAUGAAUGAUGAAACACAUACAACUGGAAGACCUAACCAAUGCUGACAGAUUCUAGUCAGUGUUAUUGUUGUGAUAGCAUUGAAUUGUUUUGGGUUGUGGCAACAAUUGGAUUGUGGCAAUUCCUCUCUGUAAUGACGUAGUUAGGCUACUUCCUUUUCUGGUUGUGGCAACGACAAGUGGGUUGCUUGCUUGGACAAUCUAUCAGUUUCAUCUCUGUGGUUUCUAAAUUGAACCAUCCCAACCACUUCAGGUUAGUAAAUUGCAUACCUAUCUACAACCCAACCCCACAAGUAAAUAAAGAAGGUAUAAGAAAAGCAGCAGCAGUUGAUUAAUAAGGAACCAUUACUCACAGUUCCUUCUAUUACUUCUACUUCUACCGUGCCAAUUUACUUUCUAAGGUUGUGUUGCAAGAUAUGGGGAAAUGUCGAAGGAAACCGACAUCCUUCCAACAACAAUCCAGGCCCCCUGCUUUCAUUUCGAGCAGCCACUUUUCUGUAAAAUACUUGAAGUUGUUAAUUUGUAAUUUUUGCAUCCGUUCUUCAAUGUAAACUUAAGGGAGUAUUCUGUGCUCCUUGAUUAUGAUUACGUGAUACAUGCGGUUUUCCUGUGUUCAAUCCUUUUUUCUUGAUUA